CGAUCUAUGUAUUCUAUCCUACGAUCUCUCAAAGAUGCCCCAGCCCCCAAUACGAGCCGCUGCCGAGAUCCAAGACGAGCCGCCGCCGAGAUAUGAGUCGAUCCACCGCCGCCGAGGACCGAGUGGAGCCGCCGCCGGUGCUGGCCAGGCUCCCCACGAUGUGCGCGCCGGGGGGCCGCUCCCGCUCCCGCAGCCGAGCAUAGCAGCAGCGGCGGAGCCCCGCCGCCGACGAGCUCUCUCUGGCGGAGGAGGGCGGGGGCGAGCUCGCCGUCUCCCUCGCGCUCAACAAUCUCUUCUCCCAUGCCGUCGCCCGCUUCACGGCCUACUUCGGCCUCAUGCCGCCAUGCCUGCACUGCUCCCGCAUCGACCGGCUCUUCAGCGCGGAGGACGUCCAUCAGGCGGUAGGCAAGAUCUCCGGGAUGGGCCACUGCCUCCACCAUCACCGCCUCUUCGUUGCCGCCGCCGCCGACAUGUGCGAGGGAUGCCUGUCUUCUUCAAAGAACGAGAUGAAUGAAGGAUGCAGAGGAGACAGGCUCCAUGGCGUGUUCCUGCUGUAAAGCUCUCGACCUCUCGUACAGGUACACGUUUCUUCUUCACGCGAGUUUGAGAACACACAUACUACCGCGAGCCGGAGAUCCAUCCACCCAGUUAUGGAUCCAUCAGGUACAAGCCACUAGCCGCCAGGCCACACCUCCGAGCUAGCCGAUGCUUAGUAUACGAGUGUUCUGCUGCAUCCGGUGCGACCUCAAAGAAUACCUUCGUCUAGCUGGCCAUUGAGCACCUUAGGGACGACGAGGUGCAGUGCCUGGGGUGUAAGCAGUUCAACUACACGAUGAAGUGAGUGAAGGGGUUAAGACGGUUGUGUUGUGCGUGCGCUGCUUGCUUGCUGUCAACUUGUUGGACAACUGUACACGUAUGUGUUUUUUCAAGCCCACUGAUUUCAGCCUCUCCGUCUCCUUCAAGCCGAUGAGAAGUUCAGGGAUAUUCCUGGGAGUGCCUAUUAUGUGGCUCCGGAGGUGCUGAAGCGGAGAUAUGGAGCCGAUAAUUGCAUAUCGAGUGCUGGAGUUAUACUCUACAUUCUGUUGUCUGGCAUUCCUCCUUUUUGGGCAGCAGGGUAGGAACCCUCCCUUGGUUUUAAUUACCUGAGAAUGAGGAAGGUCUAUUUGAUGUUGUUCUUCAAGAUCCUCCUGUGAAGCAUAAAUUUCAUUGUGUCCAAGGAGAUAUCUAAUGCUGAAAACAUGGGACUCGAAAUGUAUAGAGAGUCGGAGACACUGCUAAACUGUCAUUUAUGGGUGUCUACCAAAUUCACUAUCAACCACUGUUGUAGGACCGGCGAUAAUAUGCUUGGACUCACAAGUGCAUCUAAUGCUUCCAUAUGGAGGUUUUCAACAUCACAAAUUUCAUACUAAUGGAGUGGAGGUACCAAAAUAUCUAUUGAGGAGGGACAAAGAGAUGUGCUAUUGCCAAGACAGUUAUGACUCUAUUAAGGUAUUCAGGUAUGAUUCUCCAUGGUCAUGCUUCUCCUAUUCACCGGGAAGUUUAUUGAUGGGAGGGAAGCCACUUCUGCUUUGAUGAUUUCGUGGAAGUUCAGCUAGGUGAAUUUACAAUACAAGUCAGAUUAUUUGCGAGAGAAUUUCAUUCCCUAGAAUCAUUGUCAUUCUUGUUGCCUACAAGGUACUUGAAAAAAAUGCCCGAGACAUAUCUUAAGGAGUAUAAUUCAGCACUAAGGCUAUUAUUACAACGAUGGAAUCUUUGUUGUGGUAGUUAUGUCUCAAAAUGCGUCGAUCCCUAUCGGCUACUGAAGUAAACUUAUUUAUUUUUUCUGUGUCGAUUUCUAUUGGCUUACUGAUAGCUUAUUUAUUCUUUUCGAAUUUUAAUUCCUUGAUCUUUGCCUCUGCCCAUCUCCAUAUCACACAGAAGGUGCUCAGUGCAAUGCAUCAUGCAGUGAUUCCAUGAUAGGAAUUAGGAACUGCUCAUCAUUUGAAUGUUUCUACAAUUUUCCUGCUUGUUAGAACAUGUUUGAUGUACUUACACAUUAACAAAAAUGACUUGUAACAUUCAUGAAAAUAUUUGGGUUUGGUCAUCUACUUUUUUACUGUUUAUUUACUCAUGAA